UCUUCCUCGUAGCAGCCAGUGCAUGUACAGAGCUCAGAGUAAGGCCUAUAUGCGAGGACACGGAUGAAGAUUGGGCCGUAGUUCUCAUUUUUGCUCCUUCGUUUACUCUUUGCUUUGCACGUGUGGUGUCCGUGAGAUUGUUGUAUUUCUUUGUUUUCCGCCACGGGGACCUUGACAAGGGCCAUGGGGUGAGAAAAUAAUGCAGCUUGAGCUCCACCCUCCUCGACAUCAAUGAUUUGGCAAGGGCACUUGAACAAUCUGCGGCACCCGGCCUCACCUUACUCAACUCAGAAAUCAGAUGUCUACUGUUUGCAGAUGAUCUGAUGCUUCUGUUCCCAACCAAAGAGGGCCUACAGCAGCACUGAGAUCUUCUGCACAGAUUAUGUUAGACUUGGGCCCUGACAGUGAAUCUCAGUAAAACGAAAAUAAUCCAGGACAACAAAUACAAAUUACAUUUAGGCAGAAAUACUCCUCAGUUUUAUCAGCUGCCCGGGUGGCUGGUCCCAGACGAAGACGCCGGAUGUUGAGGUCCUGGGCUGGCGUGGUUACACAAGGUGUGCUGUCAUGAGGCUGGUUGGACGUACUGCCACAUUCUCAAAAAAAACGAUGGAGGUGGCUUAUGGUAGAGAAAUGAAAGUACAAUUAUUUGGCAACAGCUCUGGAGGACAUUCCCGCAGUCAGCAUGCCAAUUCCACGCUCCCUCAAAACUUGAGACAUCUGUGGCAUUGUGUUGUGUGACAAAACUGCACCUUUUAGAGUGGCCUUUGAUUGUCCCCUGCUGAAGGUACACCUGUGUAAUGAUCAUGCUGUUUAAUCAGCUUCAUGACAGUGCUGGAAAAAGUAUCACUGGUCACACUUGUGUAAAAGUGAAAGUCACCCAGUAAAAUACUACUUGAGUAAAAGUCUAAAAGUAUUUGGUUUUAAAUAUAUUUAAGCAUCAAAAGUAAAUGUAAUUGCUAAAAUAUAAUUAAGUAUCAAAAGUAUAAAUCAUUAUGUUACGCAAAACAGACGACACCAUUUACACAUAGACGUGGGCACACUCCAACACUUAGACAUCAUUUACGAACAAAGCAUGUGAUUUGUGAGUCCGCCAGAUCAAAGGCAGUAGGGAUAACCAGGGAUGUUCUCUUGAUAAGCAUGUGAAUUAGACCCUUUUCUUGUCGAAAUGUAACACAUACUUUUGGGUAUCAGGGAAAAUGUAUGAAACAUGGGACCGGUCCUUUACAUGUUGCGUUAAUCUUUAUAUUCAGUAUAGAUCAUUCGGAGAGAGUUUUUGAAGGAGAGAGCCUUGAUUUAUUGCUGUGAGGAAUGCAUCAUGAGCCCCAUCCAUCAUAGCCAGAGAAAAGGACAGUCUUCCUCUCACCUGAGGCAGAUAGUGGACACCGCCAGGGAUAUAUUCCAUUAUUGCACACCGUAGCAAAACGUUUUGCCGUGGAAAUUGUUUUGCAAUAAAAACAAGAGUUUCCAAUUC